UACGUAGGGAGCAAGCGUUGUCCGGAUUUAUUGGGCGUAAAGAGCUCGUAGGCGGUUUGUCGCGUCUGCUGUGAAAACUGGGGGCUCAACCCCCAGCCUGCAGUGGGUACGGGCAGACUAGAGUGCGGUAGGGGAGAUUGGAAUUCCUGGUGUAGCGGUGGAAUGCGCAGAUAUCAGGAGGAACACCGAUGGCGAAGGCAGAUCUCUGGGCCGUAACUGACGCUGAGGAGCGAAAGCAUGGGGAGCGAACAGG
rnacentral:rRNA from 1 species